rnacentral:rRNA from 1 species
GACGAACGCUGGCGGCGUGCUUAACACAUGCAAGUCGAACGGAAAGGCCCUGCUUUUGUGGGGUGCUCGAGUGGCGAACGGGUGAGUAACACGUGAGUAACCUGCCCUUGACUUUGGGAUAACUUCAGGAAACUGGGGCUAAUACCGGAUAGGAGCUCCUGCUGCAUGGUGGGGGUUGGAAAGUUUCGGCGGUUGGGGAUGGACUCGCGGCUUAUCAGCUUGUUGGUGGGGUAGUGGCUUACCAAGGCUUUGACGGGUAGCCGGCCUGAGAGGGUGACCGGCCACAUUGGGAAGGAGAUACGGCCCAGACUCCUAAGGGAGGCAGCAGUGGGGAAUAUUGCACAAUGGGCGGAAGCCUGAUGCAGCAACGCCGCGUGCGGGAUGACGGCCUUCGGGUUGUAAACCGCUUUCGCCUGUGACGAAGCGUGAGUGACGGUAAUGGGUAAAGAAGCACCGGAUAACUACGUG